GCGCGACCGUAAUGAU
rnacentral:sRNA from 1 species